UAGAUGUUUUAGGCUAUCAAGUGACAUAAUAACUACAAUCUCUCCGAAGGUUUUGUCCCUAAAUCGAGGUUUGAAAAUUUUUAUGAAUAUUUCUUCCUAACUAUAGCCUUAUUUUUCGGCGGGGCUUUCGCUGAACUUGCCUGAAGUUGUUGCUCUUUUUUUUGUUAUUACGUGCUUACUUACUGUUCUAUUUUGAUAAUACUUUAUGUGCAUGUUCUAGGGGGAUAUAGUACAAACAUUCUGUCAGACCGAAUUUCUAUUCAAGACUGUAGUUUCUCACCGAUCAUCAAAUAACCUUCAAUACAAGGGGCCCUGAAUUUCACAUUUUUUUUCAUAAAAUCAUUUAUUUUCCCUGUAGGAUGAUAAAACUCACAGAGAAUAUGCGUUAUUAUAGUGCAAAUAAUGCCUGAUAAAUUCAUUAGCCUGUCUUGAUUAGUGUAUUUUUGGCAAAUAUUUUUACGAUCUCUUACGAUCGGCACCCCUCCAAAGUGGAGCCUACCCUCAAGCUGCCCAUCUAGAGAAGACCGCAAGACAAGCAAGACGUGUGCGUUACAACGGGCCUGUCUGCCUACAGCAUAAAACUAUCUUGUGUCCGAAAUACAUGUCUUCUAUGUAGGUAGCAAAUUUGGCCGUCGCACUUGGCGUGGUUGGGGGCCAUUUUGUGUAUUUGUCCGAAAGUUAAGUUGCCACAUCUCUAUAUAUUCAUGUUUUCUAUAGAAUGUGAUAUUCUGGUAUAUUUCCGUGUACAAAAAUCAUAUUUUAUACUAAUUACAACAACGAUGUUUAUAAGAAAUUUUCCUGGUGAAAUGAGGAGGUCAACAAAUGACCUUUACAUUGGAGUAAGUUUUUUGGGUCAGAUUUUUUUUAUGGCUGCAAAUUAAUCUUCAAACAUCCAGCAAGCCAUACAUAAUUAGAUAAGUAAAUAACACAUUGAAAUUUACAUUUCAUUCCUCCAUAUCCGGUGGUAGAUGUGGCGCAGUCGCACUUGUCGUGGUCAGGGGCCAUUUAAUGUAUAUAUCCGAAAGGGGUAGAUGUAGCCAUCGCACUUGUCGUGGUUGGGGGCCAUUUAGUGUAUAUAUCCAAAAGGUGGUAGAUGUGGCCGUCAGAGUAGGUGUCUGUUUGUUUGUUUGUAUGGUGCUUUUACGUUGCAUGGAACCAGUGGUUAUUCAGCAACGGGACCAACGGCUUUACUUGACUUCCGAACCAUGUCGACAGUGAACUUCUAUCACCAGAAAUACACAUCUCUCACUUCUCAAUGGAAUGGCCGAGAAUUGUACCCGUGAUCACCAAGGUGGAACGCUAAUACCAUACCAACCACGCUGCUGAGGUGCUCAGAAUUUUGACCUCUAUGGGUCAGACAUCUUUUCUGGCAAUCACAUAUUGCAAAUAGUGGUUUCAGGAAGAUUUCCCCCAAUUUUUGUGUAUAUGUAGCUAAUUUUGUAUUUUUUGUAAAUAUUUUUGUAAUUAUUUUGUA